rnacentral:rRNA from 1 species
UACGGAAGGCAGCAGUGGGGAAUAUUGCACAAUGGGCGCAAGCCUGAUGCAGCCAUGCCGCGUGUAUGAAAAAGGCCUUCGGGUUGUAAAGUACUUUCAGUCGUGAGGAAGGUGUUAAGGUUAAUAACCUUAGCAAUUGACGUUAGCGACAGAAGAAGCACCGGCUAACUCCGUGCCAGCAGCCGCGGUAAUACGGAGGGUGCGAGCGUUAAUCGGAAUUACUGGGCGUAAAGGGCACGCAGGCGGUUAAUUAAGUUGGAUGUGAAAUCCCCGGGCUUAACCUGGGAAUGGCAUUCAAGACUGGUUAGCUAGAGUCUUGUAGAGGGGGUUAGAAUUCCAUGUGUAGCGGUGAAAUGCGUAGAGAUGUGGAGGGAAUACCGGUGGCGAAGGCGGCCCCUGGACAAAGACUGACGCUCAUGUGCGAAAGCUGGGGAGCAAACAGGGAUUAGAUACC